GGCAAAUCAUGGGUCUGUUAUGCACACUGUAUCAGGGUAGAGUUUGAAGGAACAUGAGCAGUUCGAUGGUAUCUAUUUCCAUCUUGUUUUGCUCUGCAGAAUGACUGCCUGAAUAAGAAAUUCCAUGGGAAAUCACGAGAAAGAGCUAGAGUCAUAUAUACAAAAUACCAUUUGGCACCAUAAGGAAUGGGUUUGGAACAACUGGAUAUACUUCCACCCCAGGAAUUUCCAGGACAUCUGAAAUAACUAUUUCCUACAUGAGCGUCUUUCCCUCCCACCUCUUCUCUGCAAUCCCUAGAUUUAAGGGAUUAAUUACUGGGCAGACCAUACAUCAGUAUCUCUGGACACCAGGAAACAGGUAAAUCAUGAAAUCAUGAAAUUUGAAGAGCCAUCCAUUAAUUCCAUUAAGCAGAUGAUCAAGCCCUUCUCAAAUAAUUAUUUAUUAAAAUAUUAAAAUAUUUAUGGAGUGCAGAUCUUUAUUCUACCGGUUUAAUUUUUUUUUCCCCCCAGCCUAUAUAGAAUUGGAAGAAGAGAGAGAAGGAAAAUGAGCAGCUAAAUUGUGGUCACGUAAGAAAAAUAUACCUAUUUUCAACUUUUUCACACUUGAAAUAGUCUAUCCUCAAGCUGAGUAAUUAUCUUACUUUAUUCAAACCAAACUGAAGGGAAAGGUUAGGACGUUAAUAUUCUAGAUCUAUAUUGUGGAUGAAUCGGCAUGUCAGAUCUUUCCAAGAUAUGGUUAUCCUUUUACCAGUGAAAUGAUACAAAGUAAAAUAUACGCUUUGGCAUUUCGGAGGAAAUCUCAUUAUACGCAACUCGGGAUCAUUGAGAC
rnacentral:lncRNA from 1 species